rnacentral:rRNA from 1 species
CCUACGGGUGGCAGCAGUGGGGAAUAUUGGGCAAUGGGCGCAAGCCUGACCCAGCAACGCCGCGUGAAGGAAGAAGGCUUUCGGGGUGUAAACUUCUUUUCUCAGGGACGAAGAAAGUGACGGUACCUGAGGAAUAAGCCACGGCUAACUACGUGCCAGCAGCCGCGGUAAUACGUAGGUGGCAAGCGUUAUCCGGAUUUACUGGGUGUAAAGGGCGUGUAGGCGGGGAAGGAAGUCAGAUGUGAAAACCACGGGCGCAACCUUUGGCCUGCAUUUGAAACUGUUUUUCUUGAGUACUGGAGAGGCAGACGGAAUUCCUAGUGUAGCGGUGAAAUGCGUAGAGAUUAGGAGGAACACCAGUGGCGAAGGCGGUCUGCUGGACAGCAACUGACGCUGAGGCGCGAAAGCGUGGGGAGCAAACAGGAUUAGAUACCCUGGUAGUC